AGAGUUUGAUCAUGGCUCAGAAUGAACGCUGGCGGCGUGCUUUACACAUGCAAGUCGAGCGAGGCGGUUGGGCUUGCCCAACCAGUCGAGCGGCGAACGGGUGAGUAACGCGUGGAUAUCUACCCUGAGGUGGGGGAUAACCCGGGGAAACUCGGGCUAAUACCGCAUGAUACCGAGAGGUCAAAGGGGGCAGCAAUGCUCUCGCCAUGGGAUGAGUCUGCGUCCGAUUAGCUAGUUGGUGAGGUAAUGGCUCACCAAGGCGACGAUCGGUAGCCGGCCUGAGAGGGUGAUCGGCCACACUGGAACUGAGACACGGUCCAGACUCCUACGGGAGGCAGCAGUGGGGAAUUUUGGACAAUGGGCGCAAGCCUGAUCCAGCCAUGCCGCGUGAGUGAAGAAGGCCUUCGGGUUGUAAAGCUCUUUCGGCCGGGACGAAAUCGCUCUCGCUAAUACCGGGAGUGGAUGACGGUACCGGAAUAAGAAGCACCGGCUAACUACGUGCCAGCAGCCGCGGUAAUACGUAGGGUGCGAGCGUUAAUCGGAAUUACUGGGCGUAAAGCGUGCGCAGGCGGUUUCGCAAGUCAGAUGUGAAAGCCCCGGGCUUAACCUGGGAACUGCGUUUGAAACUACGAGGCUAGAGUACGGCAGAGGGAGGUGGAAUUCCAAGUGUAGCAGUGAAAUGCGUAGAUAUUUGGAGGAACACCGAUGGCGAAGGC
rnacentral:rRNA from 1 species